rnacentral:rRNA from 1 species
GGGUCCGCACAAGCGGUGGAACAUGUGGUUUAAUUCGACACUACGCGAGGAACCUUACCUAGGCUUGACAUGCAUUUGACAGUUGUAGAAAUACAAUUUUUUAGGCUUCGGCUUAGACAGAUGCACAGGUGGUGCAUGGCUGUCGUCAGCUCGUGUCGUGAGAUGUUGGGUUAAGUCCUCUAACGAGCGCAACCCUUACUUUCAGUUGCUCAUCGCGUAAGCGAUGCACUCUGAUGGGACUGCCUGGGAAACCAGGAGGAAGGCGGGGACGACGUCAAGUCAUCAUGCUCCUUAUGUCUAGGGCUACACACGUGUUACAAUGGUCGGUACAAAGGGCUGCAAUACCGUAAGGUGGAGCCAAUCCCUAAAGCCGAUCUAAGUUCGGAUUGAGGUCUGCAACUCGACCUCAUGAAGUUGAAAUCGCUAGUAAUCGCGUAUCAGCAACGACGCGGUGAAUACGUUCACGGGCCUU